rnacentral:lncRNA from 1 species
AUGUUAGAUGUUAUGUUUGAAAGUGAAAGUGAAGUCGCUCAGUCGUGUCCGACUCUUUGCGACCCGUGGACUCUAGCCCACAAAGCUCCUCUGUCCAUGGGAUUCUCUAGGCAAGAAUACUGGAGUGGGUUGCCAUUUCCUUCUCCAAGAUGUUAUGUUUAUUUGAGAUAUAAAACCCUCUUGGUAAAGUUCGCUGUUGUGUCUGUCUUUCCUCCAAUGCAUAUUCUGAAUCCUGGUAGCAGAUCUAUUAACACUCACAUGAAUUGGAGGACAGCCAGUCGAACAUCCCUACAUUAUUAUUGGACAACUAGCAUCUAUUAUAUAUUUCCUCAUCAUUCUAGUAAUAAUACCAGCAGCUAGCACCAUUGAAAACAACCUUCUAAAAUGAAGACAAAUAAAAAUAAAUCAGAAAUGAAAUUAUUACAGGAGGUUCAUAUAUCAUUGUUCAAUUACUAUGGAAUAUAAUAAUCCUUACUGUUCUAGUAUAGCCUAUCUGGAUGACAUUUAAAGCUUUAGAACAGAUUUAACAAAUCAAACACAUAGCUAAAAAUAAAUUCUCAAAAGAGCAAAUCCU